AUCGAUGACGGUACCUGAUGAAUCAGCAUCGGCUAACUCCGUGCCAGCAGCCGCGGUAAUACGGAGGAUGCAAGCGUUAUCCGGAAUUAUUGGGCGUAAAGCGUCCGUAGGUGGUUUAUCAAGUCUGCUGUCAAAGCGUGCGGCUUAACCGCAUAAGGGCAGUGGAAACUGAUGAACUAGAGUGCGAUAGGGGUAACAGGAAUUCCCAGUGUAGCGGUGAAAUGCGUAGAUAUUGGGAAGAACACCAGCGGCGAAAGCGUGUUACUGGGUCUGCACUGACACUGAGGGACGAAAGCUAGGGGAGCGAAAGGGAUUAGAUACCCCUGUAGUCCUAGCCGUAAACGAUGACAACUAGGCGUGGUUCGUAUCGACCCGAGCCGUGCCGUAGCCAACGCGUUAAGUUGUCCGCCUGGGGAGUACGCACGCAAGUGUGAAACUCAAAGGAAUUGACGGGGGCCCGCACAAGCGGUGGAGUAUGUGGUUUAAUUCGAUGCAACGCGAAGAACCUUACCAAGGCUUGACAUCCUCGGAACCCUGAUGAAAGUUAGGGGUGCCUUCGGGAGCCGAGAGACAGGUGGUGCAUGGCUGUCGUCAGCUCGUGUCGUGAGAUGUUGGGUUAAGUCCCGCAACGAGCGCAACCCACGUUUUUAGUUGCCAGCAUUCAGUUGGGCACUCUAGAGAGACUGCCGGUGACAAACCGGAGGAAGGUGUGGAUGACGUCAAGUCAGCAUGCCCCAUACGCCUUGGGCUACACACGUACUACAAUGCGUCGGACAAAGAGCAGCCAGCCAGCGA
rnacentral:rRNA from 1 species